AUUGAACGCUGGCGGCAUGCCUUACACAUGCAAGUCGAACGGCAGCGGGGGAGAAGCUUGCUUUUCCUGCCGGCGAGUGGCGAACGGGUGAGUAAUACAUCGGAACGUGCCCUGUAGUGGGGGAUAACUAGUCGAAAGAUUAGCUAAUACCGCAUACGACCUGAGGGUGAAAGUGGGGGACCGCAAGGCCUCAUGCUAUAGGAGCGGCCGAUGUCGGAUUAGCUAGUUGGUGGGGUAAAGGCCUACCAAGGCGACGAUCAGUAGCUGGUCUGGGAGGACGAUCAGCCACACUGGGACUGAGACACGGCCCAGACUCCUACGGGAGGCAGCAGUGGGGAAUUUUGGACAAUGGGCGAAAGCCUGAUCCAGCAAUGCCGCGUGUGUGAAGAAGGCCUUCGGGUUGUAAAGCACUUUUGUCCGGAAAGAAAUGGCUCUGGUUAAUACCUGGGGUCGAUGACGGUACCGGAAGAAUAAAGACCGGCUAACUACGUGCCAGCAGCCGCGGUAA
rnacentral:rRNA from 1 species